GCGUGAGAAUCUGGCUUUAGGUUCGGGACAACCACUGGAAACGGUGGCUAACACCGGAUGUGCUGCAAAGUGAAAAUUAAUUGCCUAAAGAUGAGCUCGCGUCUGAUUAGCUAGUUGGUGGGGUAAGAGCCUACCAAGGCGACGAUCAGUAACUGGUCUGAGAGGAUGACCAGUCACACUGGGACUGAGACACGGCCCAGACUCCUACGGGAGGCAGCAGUGGGGAAUUUUCCGCAAUGGGCGAAAGCCUGACGGAGCAAUACCGCGUGGGGGAGGAAGGUUCUUGGAUUGUAAACCCCU
rnacentral:rRNA from 1 species